UACGGAGGAUCCGAGCGUUAUCCGGAUUUACUGGGUUUAAAGGGUGCGUAGGCGGGCGCCUAAGUCGGCGGUGAAAGGCAGCGGCUCAACCGUUGAGCUGCCGUUGAUACUGGGCGCCUUGGAUUCGGUCGAGGCCGGCGGAAUGCGCGGUGUAGCGGUGAAAUGCUUAGAUAUCGCGCGGAACGCCGAUUGCGAAGGCAGCUGGCCGGGCCGAGAUUGACGCUGAGGCACGAAAGCGUGGGGAUCGAAC
rnacentral:rRNA from 1 species